ensembl:lncRNA
CUCUGAGCUAACUAUAACCACUCAAGUUAUAAAAAUAAAUCCCAGUGAACCAAAGAGUUGAAUGAGUAAGGGAAGAGGAAAAAGGAAAAGACUGUUCUGCUACUAGGAGAUGAUUACAUACAAAUGUCUAAGAAGUACUGCCAUUAGUUGUCAAAGGGCACAGUGUCUAGUGGCCCAGAAGGCGGAUCUAGCAUUUACCUAAUAGAAUCAUAGAAUUAUAGAAUCACCAACGUUGGAAAAGACAUCCAAGGUCAUCUAGUCCAAUCAUCCACCUACUGCCAAUAUUUCUCCACUAAACCACAUCCGUUAAUACCUCGUCUAAUUGUUUAUUUAACACCUCCAGGGACAGUGACUCAACCACCUCCCUGGGCAGCCCAUUCCAGAGCCUGAUCACUCUUUUGGAGAAGAAAUUUUUCCUAAUAUCCAACCUGAACCUUCCCUGGUGCAACUUGAGGCCAUUCCUUCUAGUCCUGUCAUAAAUUAUGAGGAAGGAGAGGCUGACACUCACCUCACCACAGCGUCCUCUCAGGUUGUUGUAGAAAACAAUACUGUCUGCCCCAAGACUCCUUUCUCCAGAUUAAAUCCCAGUUCCCUCAGCUGGUCCUCACAAGGCUUGUGCUCCAGACCCCUUACCAGCUUUGUUGACCUUCUCUGGACAGUCUCCAGGGCCUCAAUGGUUUUACUGUACUGAAGGCUCGAAACUGAACACAGUACUUGAAAGGUGGCCUCACCAGAGCUGAGUACAUGGGAAUGAUCACCUCUCAGCUCCUGCUGGCAACAUUAUUUCUUAUAACAGCCAGGAAAGAUGCUAUUGACCUUCUUGACUACCUGGGCACACUGCUGGCUCAUGUUUAGCCAAGAGUCAGCCAACACCCCCAGGAGUGGUCAACAAAACUAAGAAGCCACCAAUCCAGCAGCCUUCAUAUUCAGGGUUCAAGAUCCUAUUGUGUCUCUUCUUGCCACUAAACUGGGAGAUGACACCUAGUGUCAGUGGAUUUUAAAGAUACUUUUCCACUCUAACAUCACUGUUUUCCUCACUGUUUCAAGAUCAAACUUCUAAAUAAGCAAUAUAGUUUUUCUAAACAGCUGGAACAAAUGUAUACCCAAAUUCAUUGUCAUAUAAAAGAGCUGACAACAGACACAAAGAAAGGAUAUCUGUAAAUAAAACAUUAAGAAAUGAUUAUCAGGCACCACCCUUAUUCAAACAGCAGUUUUAGUUUUACCACAUUUGGAAAGUAAUAUUUUUAUGUAUUUCAUUUUUCAUUCCAGAACCAGGCAUUUCUCCCCUGUUUCUAUUCCAGUGUGUUUAUUUUUAGGAAUUAUAGGAAAAGAUGGAAGAUACGGAUUAAUAGUGCCAGAGAUCAAGACCCUUCCCUGCUAGAUCAAAUUAGAAGUUUUUGAUGUUUUCAGAAAAAGACUGUUUAUCAGAGAAGAUAUUGUCUUUGUUUUUUUUGGAAGGAUGAAACCUUGAUCACAAUUUAGUCAGAAGAGUCAGUUGUUGGAUAAAGGAUUCUUCUCUCUAAAGAAGCCAGGAAAGGAAUCCAACAGCCAGCAAUUUUCUUCAUCUACUAAUUCUCUUGGCAGAUUAAAAAAGGAGGAGAAGGAGGCAGUUUUAUCAGAAUCCUCAAAAUACACUACUGGUGAGGUUACAAAUUGCUGAAAACUAUUCUGAUGUAGCUCCCAAAGAUUCUCACUUCCUCUCCUACUGAAGUCACUACUAUUUGUUAUCAGAGAAACUAGAGAUGGCUGAUCAGUACAACAGUUUGCAGAGGAGCAAAUGAGUUUCGCUUGUCAUGAGGGAAGAUCUCAUCUCUUGAUACCUUCACAAUAACGUGGAAUGUAUUCAAAGUAUGUGUCAAGCUGGAGUUUUGAUACUCUGGUGAGUUGAUUUAUGGAAUACUAAGAUACUUACAGUCUUUUUAAAAAGAAGAAAAGAGGAGAAUAGAGACUAAAUACCAGUUAUUCCAGGUUGCUAGACCUUUGCCAUCACAAUCAAUAAAAGCAAAGUCUCCUCUUCACAUAUAUAUCACUACUCCCAGUCUCUCCACCUCUUCUUGGAGACUUAGACAUGUUUGAGAAUUUGAGAGCCAACUUGUCACACCACAGUUACUAAACUGGAACUAAAGCAGUAGGAAUACAGCUGGAAAACAAAAUAUUUACAUAUGCCAUUGGAGUUUCUUUUUUAACUUUACAUUCCUCAAAAGACAGUAUUUGUUCCACUUAGGAACUAUUCUACUACCAAGAAAGGUAGCAUUUUUAUUCAACUCCAGCAACAUUGUUCUUGUCAGUUAAAGGUAUUGUUGUUUUCCAGGAUUAACUACAUAUAAAUCUUAAGAAAGAAGAGCGCUUAUCUUUUCAGAAUUCCUUCAAAGCAAUUUCUCCUCUCCCUCUUCAAGUUGGCAGAGAAAACCAGAGUUUGGUCCAAGUAACUAAUUAUUCUGCUCUCAGUAUUUUCUAGCUUUGUCCAUUUUUCUCAGUCUUCCAGGACUGUCACCCCUUCUUUCUUCUCAUGAUUCCUCCAACAGGUAUCCUUUCUCCCCAAGACAGGUCAGUAGACAGUCUCACUCACUUUGACACUUGAAGGCACCAUCAGGCUGCAUUUCAAUAUAUCUGCAAAGCAGUUGCUUUUUAUUCCCCUUUCUUCUACAACUCUGAAAUUAGUACUGUUCUGAAACUUGACAAAAUAGAAUUGGUACUGAUGUCAACUGGCCUGCACCUCUGCAAGAUGUUUCUUCAGCAGAAUAUGCUAUGACGCAAAUCCUCCUGUGACUGUGCAUACAGGAUGAAAAAUACUUAAUCAAAGUGUUUAUUAUUCAGCUGUUCGAGUUUGGCAUGAUACUCUCACUAGCAGCUUAAAAUUCUCUCCUUGAAUAUUUUUGGUACCAUAAUUACCUGUGGAUGACAGGGGGGCAAGGGAGGGAACAGCAGGAGAGAGGCAGUUGCCUAUUUUCACAAAUUAGAGUAUAAUCUGAUUCUUCUAGCAGUCCUGAUGACUCUCCAGAGUUCUCAUAGUCCCC